UACAACGGCGGAAAACGACAGAGAGAGUGAGAUGGGAGCGCAGCGCACGCAACCCCAAACCAUCGCGCGGGGUGGGGUGGUUUCGUUCGUCUCGUCGUUGCGUAACGAAGCGACGCGGAAUGCACGCGAGAUGUUCGAGCUUUUGCCCGACCGCCGAUUCGUGGGUCUAAGCUGACACCGACCGCGUCAUCGUCCGCGCCUCCCCUUCCCCUCCCGCGGUCAGGUGCUGUUCUCCUCCAUGCCGCGGACCUUUCGGCAGUCUUUUCUUCUUCUUCUUCUUUUCCUGAGCUUUAAGGAAGAAUCGAGGGUGGAAAAAGAAGCGGAGAAAUCCGAGUCUCAUUCCCCACCUCCUGCUGUCUCUCAAAAUUUUCAGAUGGGGGCGAUGACGCGAGAUGGACCACUGAUAUGGAUCUUUCUAGUUGACGAGAGAAGAUGAAGGUCAUGAUUUCAAUCUUGUUUGAUGAGAGUGAGAGGAUGUAAGCUUCAAGAAAGAGGGCGAGUGAGUGAAAAUGUUUAGGGUUGGGAUAGGGCUCAAAGAGUGAACUUUUGAAUUUAUUAUUGUGAAAAUUAUUCGUUGUUCUGAUAUGAGUCAUGUCAUCAUAGUUUGUUUGACGGUGAUGGGGUGGUUUUAAAGUCGAGAUGAGACAAUUAACCCC